UACGUAGGGCGCAAGCGUUGUCCGGAAUUAUUGGGCGUAAAGAGCUCGUAGGCGGCCUGUUGCGUCCGCUGUGAAAGCCCGGGGCUUAACCCCGGGUCUGCAGUGGAUACGGGCAGGCUAGAGGUAGGUAGGGGAGAAUGGAAUUCCCGGUGUAGCGGUGAAAUGCGCAGAUAUCGGGAGGAACACCGGUGGCGAAGGCGGUUCUCUGGGCCUGUACUGACGCUGAGGAGCGAAAGCGUGGGGAGCAAACAGG
rnacentral:rRNA from 1 species